CCUACGGGUGGCAGCAGUAGGGAAUCUUCCACAAUGGGCGAAAGCCUGAUGGAGCAACGCCGCGUGGGUGAAGAAGGUCUUCGGAUCGUAAAACUCUGUUGUUAGAGAAGAAAGUGCGUGAGAGUAACCGUUCACGUUUCGACGGUAUCUAACCAGAAAGCCACGGCUAACUACGUGCCAGCAGCCGCGGUAAUACGUAGGUGGCAAGCGUUAUCCGGAUUUAUUGGGCGUAAAGGGAUCGCAGGCGGUCUUUUAAGUCUGAUGUGAAAGCCUUCGGCUUAACCGGAGUAGUGCAUUGGAAACUGGGAGACUUGAGUGCAGGAGAGGAGAGUGGAACUCCAGGUGUAGCGGUGAAAUGCGUAGAUAUAUGGAAGAACACCAGUGGCGAAGGCGGCUCUCUGGUCUGUAACUGACGCUGAGGUUCGAAAGCGUGGGUAGCAAACAGGAUUAGAUACCCCUGUAGUC
rnacentral:rRNA from 1 species